ensembl:lncRNA
UAUGGAUGUAUUUUUACUUACUCUACUUUCUCAUCUGCUUUGGCAUCAGCGCUGAAUAGAUUUAAGACAUCUGCGCAUGUGUCUUCAGGUGCUGAAGAAAAACACCCUUCUCUGUACAUUGCCUAUUGGGCUGACACUUAAACAUUGCUCUGGGAUGUUGCAAACAGACCAAGCUAGAAAGGUACAAAAUGACUUUAUGUGCCUUAGUUGGAAUGUUGAUCUUAUUCUCUUAGACAAUCAACUUGUCCCUCUCUGCAUCCUGUUACACGCUGAGGACAGAAUAUUUGGAGGAUGUUGUACCUGCCCCUGAAACACUGCAACUCACUGAGUUGGAAAAUUGAGAAACUAUAAAGAAGAAAUUCUACCCUGCACUGUGGAUUCCCAGUGUUUUAUUUUGGAUGCCUUAUUCACCCAAGAGCAACAAGUUACGAAGGCAUCGAGAAAGCAUGGACAACAGCUGAGUCUUAUCACUGUGUGGCAGGGAUGGAUUUCUGGAAGACAUGCAAGAAGAGGCUACUGAUGAGAGUGCACCCCAGUUGCAACAAGGAGUCACAUUAAAAGUACUGACCUGAGUCUCAGAAGACAUUUUGAACUUCUAAAUAAUAUUUAACCGAUGAUAAAUAAGAAUCAUGGGAUUGGGGAAGUGGAUUAUAUACUACAUGGAUAGGCAGGGGAGAGAACUUCAAAAUUUGGAAGAAGAAUAAUGUCAAAAUAUAUUGUAUGACAAACAGACAUGCUUAACAAGGAUGAUGCCACUUCAACAACCAAACCCAUGCAGAGAACUUCAUGAAGCCUCAACCUUCAAAGUAUAUUAGUGGCUGCAUUUCUAAGGAAAAGUGACCCUUGCUCAUCCAGCAGUCAUCAGUACUAAUGGAACCCAGGAUUAUUUCCAAGAAGUGCAAAUAUGGAUGAAGUUGAGAUUUGGACUUUCUAUCUUUGUGAUGAACUGAGUUGGAGUUUUGAUGGGGAAUUGCACUGGAACUGUAUAUUGCUUUUGAUAUCACUGUGGGAUUAUAUUGGCUACAUUUCUAAGGAAAAGUGACCCUCGUGCAUCAGGCAGUCAUCAGUGCUAAGCGAGCCCAGGGACUAAAUUUUUCAAAGAAGAAAAAGUAGAUGAAAGUUACCAUGUUGUGACCUGUAAUUUCACAUUGGGAGAGAUAAACGUGGAGUACUUCUCUGAGGACACUUUGGAUUACACUAAUUAGAAGGAACCCUAGUCUGCAGUUUGUGAGUAUGUAUCAAAAAGUCACCAAAAGAAGUGAGUUUAAAUGAUGAUAUAAAUGAACAAAUAACUAAUUUAUCUGAGAUGUAAGUAGAGUAAAAUAUUUUCCAGUAACUAAAUAUUACAUGUUUGAACAAAAGGACAAUACAAAUCAAAUCAAUCAAAUGACUUUUAUGCUUUUCAAACCAUUGACACAUAGGAAUGUUGCUCUAAAUAGGAUGUAUACCCAGUGUGUUAUAGUUCCUGAGUUGAAAUCCCAGUGUUUCAGUGAAAAAAUAAUUUGACUCAUCAGUGAGCUGGCAGGUUAUAUAAAAUGAACUCUAGUAAAAACAAAGUUCCAUCCUGGAGUGUAUCAGAGCAGAAUGACUUGCACAAUUUUGCUCUGACCAAUAGAAAUGUAUCCUCUGAAGACUAACUUAAUUAAAUGUUAGUACCUAAAGAUGUAUCAAUAUGGAAUCUGUAUUAGUUUUUGAUUUACUAAUUUUUGAAAAUUGAUUUUUUUCAGACCAUAUAUUCUAAUCCCUCCUUACUUUGUUCUCCCUGAUAAUUUCUACCUCUACAUUGAUCUAAUUCCUCAUGUUCUCAUCCCACCCCUUAGAAAACAUGAAAAAAACAUAACCAUACGCAAACAGAACAAUCAAAGGAAUCAUGAAAUAUAAGAAAAAACACCAGAAGCACAUAGACACAUAUUUAUACAUGCUCACAGAGAAAAGCCCAGGAAAUUAUUAAAUUGUCAGUCAUAAUGCAUCAGAAAAUUACCAGCAUG